CUACUUAUCUGGCAGGAGAGAUACCAGGAUCACAAAAGUGGUUUUCACAGGGUGAGGCUUAUCCAUUAUAUUCCCGAUAUGCUGACCCCUGUGAUUUCCCCAAUUGUGGGAAACUUGACUGCAUAAUUUGUGGUAGUGGUGGACUGCAUUCAUAAUCUCCCACAG
ensembl:snRNA U1 U1 spliceosomal RNA